rnacentral:rRNA from 1 species
UACGAAGGGGGCUAGCGUUGCUCGGAAUCACUGGGCGUAAAGCGCACGUAGGCGGCUUUCUAAGUCAGGGGUGAAAUCCUGGAGCUCAACUCCAGGACUGCCUUUGAUACUGGAGAGCUUGAGUCUGGAAGAGGUGAGUGGAACUCCGAGUGUAGAGGUGAAAUUCGUAGAUAUUCGGAAGAACACCAGUGGCGAAGGCGGCUCACUGGUCCGGUACUGACGCUGAGGUGCGAAAGCGUGGGGAGCAAACAGG